rnacentral:rRNA from 1 species
AUGAAUGAAGAAAGAAACAUGCCUUGCAAAUGCGUGACAUAUCAGAUUGCUUUUUCCUUUUCCCCUCGCAGACGGAUCGAACUGAACAAAGUUGUUGAAUUACUAGCCGACUUCCGGCGCUCUGCAACUGACGAAGGGACAACGGACUGCAGGUGCAACGAUGAGGUGGCACCAUCCAUUUGCAAGGCCACCCUCACGAACGGAGAAGCGAGACAAAAAUCGUGGCUCAAGAGUUCACCCCCAAAUCCCGAUUCCACUCCGAGAAGCCAUGGCGGCGGCUGCUCUCUUCACGGGCUCCCCCGGAACCUUCCACUACCGGGGGCGCACCCGGCCUCUCCGUCGCGUCCGCGCCGGCAUGCUCUCCCGCCUCGCACGCGCCCCGUCUCCGCGCUCGCGCUCCUCGAUGCCACCGCGUGUCUUGAAGCGCAUGGCCAUGGGCGGAGUUACGAGGUGAGAGCCGUUAAGAACUGUUACCAUCCCCCUCCCCCUCGCGUUUCAAUUUCCAUGGCAUUUUAA